UAAUAACCUCUGCCUGCUGUGUUACCUAGUUUUAAUCCAAACUGUUGUGUUCCGUGAAUACACCGCUGAGUUUCACAGUUCCUUCUUCAGGCACCAAAGCAGGUUAAGAAACCCCAAGAACAUUCUGCUAAAUGUAUUAGGCCAUAUUCAUUUAUAUGUUCUGGCUAAUUUGUGCUGCUCUGGUAAUGCAAAGCAGCCAUAAACCUGGAUUAGUGCAGUGGAGCAGUGGGGAGACUUUAGUAAAGAAAGAGGAAGACUGUAGUUUGCUGUGAGACAUAGACUGUAUGUAGGGGUAAGUCUUCAUCUGUUUUAAUUAGUUAUUACUCAUAGUCUUAAAGGAUUUGCCCUAAGCCGUGAAAAAUGAACAUGUUUUACUCUGCAUCUGCACAGUUUUGCAGAAGCAGGAAGGAGAUGAGAGAACAAGACUGAACAUUUGCUCUAUAUCCAUGGAGAGAAGGAGUAAGCUGCCUUCCACACCUGAAUUUGUUCCUUCAGCUCAAACUGGUGCUGUUUGUACAUGACGUUGCAUUGGGUGGUGUAAACGUAACCAGAGAUACUGCAGAAGUUUUCCAGCUCCCGGCUUCCCAGAAGUUUCCUCUGACUUUUUACCCUGGCACACAGCCAGGCUGCUGUCCUGCCUGCCCCGUCCCGAGCUGUCUGCUGGGUUCCUGUGCCCUUAACUUCAGAGAUGGAGGUGGGAAGAGAAGAGAAUUUGAUUUUGUGGUUCGCCCAGUACAUUUUGCGUGCUUGUUUUUCUCACAGCUCAGUCCAUCUCUCUAUUCACAAACAUAAUAGAGAAGGGGGACAGAGAGGGUGAGUAAUACUUGGAGUGGGUUUUUUGCGUGAGGAAUGGACUGUAUGUUGUUGCUCUUCUGCAGGAUUUUUUAGGAGGGAAAUAUGCAGGUGCAAAAUGGUAAAAAUAACCUACGCUCUAUAUCUGGAAAGUUUAUAGCACCAUCUGUGCUUUGGCACAGCUUUCAUCAGCAGAGAAAUACUGGACUGCUUCCUUACUACUAGUGAAUUCUUUUACCAAGUUGCCAUUUAAAACAAUAAUAUCUUUGUGUAUUCAGCAAUAUUUGCUGAAAUAUUUACUACAUUUUUCUUUUGUUCCUUGAAAUGAAUGAGUUCAAAAAUGCGUUUUUGGGGCCUGUAUUUUUCUUCUGCUUAAUUUAGGCUCAAAUUAUUCUUCUAUUUUAGCUGAAAUUCUGAAAAGACUCAGCAGGAGGGGUAGAAGGAAGGGGCAUCUUUAGCCUUUAAUUUAGGUUCCAGUCUCUUAUUCAGUACUUGUGGAGCUCUACACAGUGCCCAGCACUGAAGAAUUGCUUUGGGAGCACUGUGACAGUGGUGCCCUCCCUGGCCGGAGUACCCCCACCAAUUGAACUUCCUUGUUUCCAUCACAAAAUUCAUGGGGGGACAGAAGAGGUCCAUCUGCAGCUGGCAUCACUGAAGCGUUUUCUCUUAAGAGCAGUGAUAAAGACAACU
rnacentral:lncRNA from 1 species